rnacentral:rRNA from 1 species
AGCAGCCGCGGUAAUUCCAGCUCCAAUAGCGUAUAUUAAAGUUGCUGCAGUUAAAAAGCUCGUAGUUGAAUUUCGGGACCGAUAUAUCGGUCGUGCCUCGGUACGUACUGGUAUUUUCGGUUUCUCCCUUCUGACGAACCUUGAUGUCAUUAAUUUGGUGUCUUGGGGAAUCAGGACUGUUACUUUGAAAAAAUUAGAGUGUUUAAAGCAGGCUCACGCUUGAAUACAUUAGCAUGGAAUAAUGAAAUAGGACGUUUGAUUCUAUUUUGUUGGUUUCUAGGAUCGACGUAAUGAUUAAUAGGGAUAGUUGGGGGCAUUAGUAUUCAAUUGUCAGAGGUGAAAUUCUUGGAUUUAUUGAAGACUAACUACUGCGAAAGCAUUUGCCAAGGAUGUUUUCAUUAAUCAAGAACGAAAGUUAGGGGAUCGAAGACGAUCAGAUACCGUCGUAGUCUUAACCAUAAACUAUGCCGACUAGGGAUCGGAUGAUGUUAAUUUUUUAAUGACUCAUUCGGCGCCUUACG